UGUUGUUUCCAUUUCUUUUCUUUUCCUUUUGUAUCUUUUCCAUUCCAAUAAACAACCAGAAAGCAAUCAAAACAAGGAGGAAGUGC
rnacentral:ribozyme from 1 species